ACAGAGGCCUCGAGCGUUAGGCGGAAUCACUGGGCUUAAAGCGUGUGUAGGCGGAUCGUUAAGUGUCUUGUGAAAUCCCACGGCUCAACCGUGGAACUGCUGGGCAUACUGGCGAUCUUGGGCCAUUCAGGGGCGACUGGAACAAGCGGUGGAGCGGUGAAAUGCGUAGAUAUCGCUUGGAACGCCGAAGGUGAAAACAGGUCGCUGGGGAUGUGCCGACGCUGAGACACGAAAGCCAGGGGAGCAAACGGGA
rnacentral:rRNA from 1 species